rnacentral:tRNA from 1 species
GACAAGGUGGCAGAAUAGUGCAACAGGUUUAAACCCUGUAUAUGAAUAAUAUCUCUUGUUA